CUGACAGAGAUGUCACCCUGACAAGGCAGCCCAUGACUCACUCUACAGGUGUCACCUUGACGGACAAGGCCGCCCAUGACUCACUCUACAGGUGUCACCCUGAUGGACAAGGCCGCCCAGUGACUCACUCUACGGGUGUCACCCUGACGGACAAGGCCGCCCAUGACUCACUCUACAGGUGUCACCCUGAUGGACAAGGCCACCCAAGUGACUGACUCUACAGGUGUCACCCUGACGGACAAGGCCGCCCAGUGACUGACUCUACAGGUGUCACCCUGACGGACAAGGCCGCCCAGUGACUGACUCUACAGAUGUCACCCUGAUGGACAAGGCCGCCCAGUGACUGACUCUACAGGUGUCACCCUGUAGACAAGGCCGCUCAGUGACUCAGAGAUGUCACCCUGAUGGACAAGGCCGCUCAGAUCAACCACCACCUUCCUUAGUUCAUGUCUGCCUGGUCUAUCAGUUGCUGAAAAACAG